rnacentral:lncRNA from 1 species
CUCCAAAUGAGUAAGUCAGUACUGGUAUGGCAAAUGUAUUGAUGGCUUUCACUGUGUUUUUCCCAUUCAGAUGUGUUUUGAGAAUAUUAUUUAAUCUGUUGGUGUACAGUUUUGACAGUGUUUGUUUAGUUUUCUUAUGUUCUGUGAGUCUGGCCUGCUGGAAUCCCAAAUAUUUGUACACUUCUCCCUCUUCCAUGGAUUCGAUAGUGUAUCUAUUUUCAAGAUUGAAGUCUUCUUUCUUCAGGACUCUUUUUUUAUAUGGAGUGUUUUGCAUUUGUCUAGGCCAAAUUCUAUGCAGAUGUCUUUUGAGAAUGUGUGCGUGAUUUGUAACAGCUGUUGUAAU